ACUCGGCGGGCGGCUUCCGGGAAACCAAAGUUUUUCGGUUCCGGGGGAAGUAUGGUUGCAAAGCUGAAACUUAAAGGAAUUGACGGAAGGGCACCACCAGGAGUGGAGCCUGCGGCUUAUUUUGACUCAACACGGGAAAACUUACCCGGCCCGGACACUGUAAGGAUUGACAGAUUGAGAGCUCUUUCUUGAUUCAGUGGGUGGUGGUGCAUGGCCGUUCUUAUUUGGUGGAGCGAUUUGUCUGGUUAAUUCCGAUAACAAACGAGACUCUACCCUACUAAAUAGACUGUAGGCUUAUUAACGCCAGCUAGCUGUUCUUAUAGGAAAGGGACGCGACGCCGCCCCACCACACAAAACAAAAACAUGUCUGUUAUGCCCUUAU
rnacentral:rRNA from 1 species